rnacentral:tRNA from 1 species
GAGGGGGUGCCGGAGUGGCCAAACGGGCAGGACUUAAGAUCCUGUGGCUUAGUGCCUUACGCAGGUUCGAAUCCUGCCCCCCUCA